UGAAUGCUGACAUUGAUGCCAAAGUGGACAC
rnacentral:piRNA from 1 species